GCAUGAAAAUUGUGCAAAAAAAAAUUAAGUUUGAAGAUUUUCAAGAAACAUUAUAAUGUUGUAGAAGAAAAGAAGUGACAUAAAAACAUAACCUUUUUGACAAUUUUAGUUUUAUGUGAGGAGACAAAAGGAAUAAGAAAGUUGCAAAGUUGUAAACAAUAAAAAAGAAUGUAGCAAUGCAAAAAUCUUUUUGUCUAAUGAAAAAUAAAGAAACAAGAGAGACAAACACAGUAUGUUGUGUGUGUGUGUGUGUUUGGGGGUGGAGGGGAGGGGGGGGUGGCGGGGUUCUUGAUCUUUUCAAAAAAGAUUACCUUUUGGUUAGUUAUAGAACAAGAAGUAAUAGUAGAAGAAGAAAGAAGAUUUUGUUUGGUGAGUUUUUCUCAUACAACAAACAACAACU
rnacentral:lncRNA from 1 species